rnacentral:rRNA from 1 species
GAUGAACGCUGGCGGCGUGCCUAAUACAUGCAGGUCGAGCGAACAGACGAGGAGCUUGCUCCUCUGACGUUAGCGGCGGACGGGUGAGUAACACGUGGAUAACCUACCUAUAAGACUGGGAUAACUUCGGGAAACCGGAGCUAAUACCGGAUAAUAUAUUGAACCGCAUGGUUCAAUAGUGAAAGACGGUUUUGCUGUCACUUAUAGAUGGAUCCGCGCCGCAUUAGCUAGUUGGUAAGGUAACGGCUUACCAAGGCAACGAUGCGUAGCCGACCUGAGAGGGUGAUCGGCCACACUGGAACUGAGACACGGUCCAGACUCCUACGGGAGGCAGCAGUAGGGAAUCUUCCGCAAUGGGCGAAAGCCUGACGGAGCAACGCCGCGUGAGUGAUGAAGGUCUUCGGAUCGUAAAACUCUGUUAUUAGGGAAGAGCAAAUGUGUAAGUAACUAUGCACGUCUUGACGGUACCUAAUCAGAAAGCCACGGCUAACUACGUG